CCUACGGGUGGCUGCAGUGGGGAAUAUUGCACAAUGGGCGCAAGCCUGAUGCAGCCAUGCCGCGUGUGUGAAGAAGGCCUUCGGGUUGUAAAGCACUUUCAGCGGGGAGGAAGGCGGUGAGGUUAAUAACCUCAUCGAUUGACGUUACCCGCAGAAGAAGCACCGGCUAACUCCGUGCCAGCAGCCGCGGUAAUACGGAGGGUGCAAGCGUUAAUCGGAAUUACUGGGCGUAAAGCGCACGCAGGCGGUCUGUCAAGUCGGAUGUGAAAUCCCCGGGCUCAACCUGGGAACUGCAUUCGAAACUGGCAGGCUAGAGUCUUGUAGAGGGGGGUAGAAUUCCAGGUGUAGCGGUGAAAUGCGUAGAGAUCUGGAGGAAUACCGGUGGCGAAGGCGGCCCCCUGGACAAAGACUGACGCUCAGGUGCGAAAGCGCGGGGAGCAAACAGGAUUAGAUACCCCUGUAGUC
rnacentral:rRNA from 1 species